UCUCGUGGAUGAGCAAAGAAGGUGGUGUCUGGAGAUGGGAGUCUACUUCUGGUGAGGAUGCUGUGAA
rnacentral:pre_miRNA from 1 species